CGUACACUCCUACGGGAGGCAGCAGUGGGGAAUAUUGCACAAUGGGCGCAAGCCUGAUGCAGCCAUGCCGCGUGUAUGAAGAAGGCCUUCGGGUUGUAAAGUACUUUCAGCGGGGAGGAAGGCGAUAAGGUUAAUAACCUUGUCGAUUGACGUUACCCGCAGAAGAAGCACCGGCUAACUCCGUGCCAGCAGCCGCGGUAAUACGGAGGGUGCAAGCGUUAAUCGGAAUUACUGGGCGUAAAGCGCACGCAGGCGGUCUGUCAAGUCGGAUGUGAAAUCCCCGGGCUCAACCUGGGAACUGCAUUCGAAACUGGCAGGCUAGAGUCUUGUAGAGGGGGGUAGAAUUCCAGGUGUAGCGGUGAAAUGCGUAGAGAUCUGGAGGAAUACCGGUGGCGAAGGCGGCCCCCUGGACAAAGACUGACGCUCAGGUGCGAAAGCGUGGGGAGCAAACAGGAUUAGAUACCCCAGUAGUCC
rnacentral:rRNA from 1 species